CCUACGGGGUGCUGCAGUGAGGAAUAUUGGUCAAUGGGCGCGAGCCUGAACCAGCCAAGUAGCGUGAAGGAUGACUGCCCUACGGGUUGUAAACUUCUUUUAUAAAGGAAUAAAGUGAGGCACGUGUGCCUCUUUGUAUGUACUUUAUGAAUAAGGAUCGGCUAACUCCGUGCCAGCAGCCGCGGUAAUACGGAGGAUCCGAGCGUUAUCCGGAUUUAUUGGGUUUAAAGGGAGCGUAGAUGGGUUGUUAAGUCAGUUGUGAAAGUUUGCGGUUCAACCGUAAAAUUGCAAUUGAUACGGGCAGUCUUGAGUACAGUAGAGGUAGGCGGAAUUCGUGGUGUAGCGGUGAAAUGCUUAGAUAUCACGAAGAACUCCGAUUGCGAAGGCAGCUUACUAAACUGCCACUGACAUUGAUGCUCGAAAGUGUGGGUAUCAAACAGGAUUAGAUACCCCAGUAGUC
rnacentral:rRNA from 1 species